GCGAGCGAACGGGGAGGAGCCCAGAGCCUGAAUCAGUGUGUGUGUUAGUGGAAGCGUCUGGAAAGGCGCGCGAUACAGGGUGACAGCCCCGUACACAAAAAUGCACAUGCUGUGAGCUCGAUGAGUAGGGCGGGACACGUGGUAUCCUGUCUGAAUAUGGGGGGACCAUCCUCCAAGGCUAAAUACUCCUGACUGACCGAUAGUGAACCAGUACCGUGAGGGAAAGGCGAAAAGAACCCCGGCGAGGGGAGUGAAAAAGAACCUGAAACCGUGUACGUACAAGCAGUGGGAGCACAGAGCAAUCUGUGUGACUGCGUACCUUUUGUAUAAUGGGUCAGCGACUUAUAUUCUGUAGCAAGGUUAACCGAAUAGGGGAGCCGAAGGGAAACCGAGUCUUAACUGGGCGUUAAGUUGCAGGGUAUAGACCCGAAACCCGGUGAUCUAGCCAUGGGCAGGUUGAAGGUUGGGUAACACUAACUGGAGGACCGAACCGACUAAUGUUGAAAAAUUAGCGGAUGACUUGUGGCUGGGGGUGAAAGGCCAAUCAAACCGGGAGAUAGCUGGUUCUCCCCGAAAGCUAUUUAGGUAGCGCCUCGUGAAUUCAUCUCCGGGGGUAGAGCACUGUUUCGGCAAGGGGGUCAUCCCGACUUACCAACCCGAUGCAAACUGCGAAUACCGGAGAAUGUUAUCACGGGAGACACACGGCGGGUGCUAACGUCCGUCGUGAAGAGGGAAACAACCCAGACCGCCAGCUAAGGUCCCAAAGUCAUGGUUAAGUGGGAAACGAUGUGGGAAGGCCCAGACAGCCAGGAUGUUGGCUUAGAAGCAGCCAUCAUUUAAAGAAAGCGUAAUAGCUCACUGGUCGAGUCGGCCUGCGCGGAAGAUGUAACGGGGCUAAACCAUGCACCGAAGCUGCGGCAGCGACGCUUAUGCGUUGUUGGGUAGGGGAGCGUUCUGUAAGCCUGCGAAGGUGUGCUGUGAGGCAUGCUGGAGGUAUCAGAAGUGCGAAUGCUGACAUAAGUAACGAUAAAGCGGGUGAAAAGCCCGCUCGCCGGAAGACCAAGGGUUCCUGUCCAACGUUAAUCGGGGCAGGGUGAGUCGACCCCUAAGGCGAGGCCGAAAGGCGUAGUCGAUGGGAAACAGGUUAAUAUUCCUGUACUUGGUGUUACUGCGAAGGGGGGACGGAGAAGGCUAUGUUGGCCGGGCGACGGUUGUCCCGGUUUAAGCGUGUAGGCUGGU
rnacentral:rRNA from 1 species